rnacentral:rRNA from 1 species
UACCUAAUCCGAAAGCCACGGCUAACUACGUGCCAGCAGCCGCGGUAAUACUUAGGUGGCAAGCGUUAUCCGGAAUUAUUGGGCGUAAAGCGCGCGUAGGCGGUUUCUUAAGUCUGAUGUGAAAGCCCUCGGCUCAACCGAGGAGGGUCAUUGGAAACUGGAAAACUUGAGUGCGAAGAGGAAAGUGGAAUUCCAUGUGUAGCGGUGAAAUGCGCAGAUAUAUGGAGGAACACCAGUGGCGAAGGCGACUUUCUGGUCUGUAACUGACGCUGAUGUUCGAAAGCGUGGGGAUCAAACAGGAUUAGAUACCCUGGUAGUCCACGCCGUAAACGAUGAGUGCUAAGUGUUAGGGGGUUUCCG